AAUGCGAAUUAAAAAUCUGGUAUUGUUUACGUGUGUAGAUUUUUAAAUCUGAUUUUUGAUCAGAUUUUUAUUAUGAAAUCAGAUCUGAUUUCAAUCUGAUUUUCUUAAAAUUUUGAUCUGAUUUUGAUCAGAUCUUAAUGAAUAGGAAUCAAAUCAGAUUUUGUAGUUUUUCUGUAAAGAUCAUGGAUAUGUUUUGAAUAGAUUUUCAAAUCUAUUUUAGAAUAGAUUUUUCAAAGACAUUCAAAUCUAUUUUUCAAUAGAUUUUUAGAUCUAUUUUGAAUAGACUUUUCAAGCAUUUUAAAGUUGUUUUUGAACAGAUUAUUAGAUCUGUUUUGAACAAAUUUUUCAAAUAUUUUUGGAUCUAUUUUUGAAUAGAUUUGUAGAUCUUGUUCUGAACAGGCUUUUGGUUCUAUUUUGAACAGAAUUUUGUAGUAUUUCGACCUAUUUUAAACCAAAUUUUCAGAUCUAAUUUUUGAAUGGAUUUUCAUGAAAUUUUAGAUCUGAAAUAGAUAAUUUAUAUGAUGUAUAAAUUUAGGUUCAGAUCUGAUAUCAUUUGUGAUGUAAUGUCAUGAUCUAAUUAGAUUAGAUAAAAAUUCUGCUGUUGUCCUAUUCUGCACAUGAUUUAAACUUGAAAUUUGGUUUAUGCAUGUAUGAUAUGUAAUGUAGAAUUCUUCUUAUUAGCCC
rnacentral:lncRNA from 1 species